rnacentral:lncRNA from 1 species
GAUUGUCAUACAAUUGAUUUUCAACCUUGUUAAUUACAGAUGAUUAUUUGAAGUUUAUCAAGUAAAUUAUAGGCCUUACUUGAAUACCUUUUACAUUUUCAUAUUUAAAUUCAUAUUUCAUUUGUUUUAAAGAACUUGUAAAUCCAUUAAUCAGUUAUCUUUUAGAUAUAAUUCACAGAAUCACUUUAUGUAAUGUAGAUCAAAAAGUAAUACGAAAUAAAUAAAUCUAUCAUCCUUAUAUAUAUCACAUACCACACAUCUAAUAUAUACAUUUGUGUAUUCAAGUAUGAGGUCAAAUAUUUGUAUAUAAGAUCUAGAUGUAUAUUGCAAGGUCUGUAAAAUUAUGUAAGACUGAGGUCGAUAUGUAAUGUGGUCAAUUUGAUUGACAGUUUAGUAGGUGGGGCAUUGUAAUAAAAGGUCUACAUUGUCACUGAUUGUUUAGUGAUAAUGCCAGUUGUCAAUCAUACUAGUAUUGUAUUAAUACCCAAUUUUGUUGAUCAUACUAGUAUUGUAUUAAUACUCAAUUACCUAAUCAAAAUCAAAAUGUUUUUUUUAAAAAGCCUGCACAUCAACACACCUUAAUGACAUACAUUCUUGAAUUAACUGCUCCAAUAAUAUACCCAUUUUUUCAGUUUAGAUGUGUAUUAUGUGCACAUACAUGAGAAUCAUAGGGAACUAUAUUUUUAGGGUGAAUACAUUUGCUAACAGUAGCUAACCUGCUGUGUUGUUAGGGAGGCCGAUGCCUUAGUAAAGAUUUAGAAUAAGUUCAAAUCUUUCCAAAAACUAUUU